AGCGUACACGGUGGAUGCCCUGGCAGUCAGAGGCGAUGAAGGACGUGCUAAUCUGCGAUAAGCGUCGGUAAGGUGAUAUGAACCGUUAUAACCGGCGAUUUCCGAAUGGGGAAACCCAGUGUGAUUCGUCACACUAUCAUUAACUGAAUCCAUAGGUUAAUGAGGCGAACCGGGGGAACUGAAACAUCUAAGUACCCCGAGGAAAAGAAAUCAACCGAGAUUCCCCCAGUAGCGGCGAGCGAACGGGGAGCAGCCCAGAGCCUGAAUCAGUGUGUGUGUUAGUGGAAGCGUCUGGAAAGGCGCGCGAUACAGGGUGACAGCCCCGUACACAAAAAUGCACAUACUGUGAGCUCGAUGAGUAGGGCGGGACACGUGGUAUCCUGUCUGAAUAUGGGGGGACCAUCCUCCAAGGCUAAAUACUCCUGACUGACCGAUAGUGAACCAGUACCGUGAGGGAAAGGCGAAAAGAACCCCGGCGAGGGGAGUGAAAAAGAACCUGAAACCGUGUACGUACAAGCAGUGGGAGCCUCUUUAUGGGGUGACUGCGUACCUUUUGUAUAAUGGGUCAGCGACUUAUAUUCUGUAGCAAGGUUAACCGAAUAGGGGAGCCGAAGGGAAACCGAGUCUUAACUGGGCGUUAAGUUGCAGGGUAUAGACCCGAAACCCGGUGAUCUAGCCAUGGGCAGGUUGAAGGUUGGGUAACACUAACUGGAGGACCGAACCGACUAAUGUUGAAAAAUUAGCGGAUGACUUGUGGCUGGGGGUGAAAGGCCAAUCAAACCGGGAGAUAGCUGGUUCUCCCCGAAAGCUAUUUAGGUAGCGCCUCGUGAAUUCAUCUCCGGGGGUAGAGCACUGUUUCGGCAAGGGGGUCAUCCCGACUUACCAACCCGAUGCAAACUGCGAAUACCGGAGAAUGUUAUCACGGGAGACACACGGCGGGUGCUAACGUCCGUCGUGAAGAGGGAAACAACCCAGACCGCCAGCUAAGGUCCCAAAGUCAUGGUUAAGUGGGAAACGAUGUGGGAAGGCCCAGACAGCCAGGAUGUUGGCUUAGAAGCAGCCAUCAUUUAAAGAAAGCGUAAUAGCUCACUGGUCGAGUCGGCCUGCGCGGAAGAUGUAACGGGGCUAAACCAUGCACCGAAGCUGCGGCAGCGACACUAUGUGUUGUUGGGUAGGGGAGCGUUCUGUAAGCCUGUGAAGGUGUGCUGUGAGGCAUGCUGGAGGUAUCAGAAGUGCGAAUGCUGACAUAAGUAACGAUAAAGCGGGUGAAAAGCCCGCUCGCCGGAAGACCAAGGGUUCCUGUCCAACGUUAAUCGGGGCAGGGUGAGUCGACCCCUAAGGCGAGGCCGAAAGGCGUAGUCGAUGGGAAACAGGUUAAUAUUCCUGUACUUGGUGUUACUGCGAAGGGGGGACGGAGAAGGCUAUGUUGGCCGGGCGACGGUUGUCCCGGUUUAAGCGUGUAGGCUGGUUUUCCAGGCAAAUCCGGAAAAUCAAGGCUGAGGCGUGAUGACGAGGCACUACGGUGCUGAAGCAACAAAUGCCCUGCUUCCAGGAAAAGCCUCUAAGCAUCAGGUAACAUCAAAUCGUACCCCAAACCGACACAGGUGGUCAGGUAGAGAAUACCAAGGCGCUUGAGAGAACUCGGGUGAAGGAACUAGGCAAAAUGGUGCCGUAACUUCGGGAGAAGGCACGCUGAUAUGUAGGUGAAGCGACUUGCUCGUGGAGCUGAAAUCAGUCGAAGAUACCAGCUGGCUGCAACUGUUUAUUAAAAACACAGCACUGUGCAAACACGAAAGUGGACGUAUACGGUGUGACGCCUGCCCGGUGCCGGAAGGUUAAUUGAUGGGGUCAGCCGCAAGGCGAAGCUCUUGAUCGAAGCCCCGGUAAACGGCGGCCGUAACUAUAACGGUCCUAAGGUAGCGAAAUUCCUUGUCGGGUAAGUUCCGACCUGCACGAAUGGCGUAAUGAUGGCCAGGCUGUCUCCACCCGAGACUCAGUGAAAUUGAACUCGCUGUGAAGAUGCAGUGUACCCGCGGCAAGACGGAAAGACCCCGUGAACCUUUACUAUAGCUUGACACUGAACAUUGAGCCUUGAUGUGUAGGAUAGGUGGGAGGCUUUGAAGCGUGGACGCCAGUCUGCGUGGAGCCGACCUUGAAAUACCACCCUUUAAUGUUUGAUGUUCUAACGUGGACCCGUUAUCCGGGUUGCGGACAGUGUCUGGUGGGUAGUUUGACUGGGGCGGUCUCCUCCUAAAGAGUAACGGAGGAGCACGAAGGUUGGCUAAUCCUGGUCGGACAUCAGGAGGUUAGUGCAAUGGCAUAAGCCAGCUUGACUGCGAGCGUGACGGCGCGAGCAGGUGCGAAAGCAGGUCAUAGUGAUCCGGUGGUUCUGAAUGGAAGGGCCAUCGCUCAACGGAUAAAAGGUACUCCGGGGAUAACAGGCUGAUACCGCCCAAGAGUUCAUAUCGACGGCGGUGUUUGGCACCUCGAUGUCGGCUCAUCACAUCCUGGGGCUGAAGUAGGUCCCAAGGGUAUGGCUGUUCGCCAUUUAAAGUGGUACGCGAGCUGGGUUUAGAACGUCGUGAGACAGUUCGGUCCCUAUCUGCCGUGGGCGCUGGAGAACUGAGGGGGGCUGCUCCUAGUACGAGAGGACCGGAGUGGACGCAUCACUGGUGUUCGGGUUGUCAUGCCAAUGGCACUGCCCGGUAGCUAAAUGCGGAAGAGAUAAGUGCUGAAAGCAUCUAAGCACGAAACUUGCCCCGAGAUGAGUUCUCCCUGACUCCUUGA
rnacentral:rRNA from 1 species